CAGUAACACGUGGCUAACCUACCCUCAGGACGGGGACAAACCCGGGAAACUGGGGCUAAUACCCGAUAGGCGAGGGCGCCUGGAAUGGUUCUUCACCCAAAGGGCUUUGGAAGCAUGCUUUUCAAUGUCGCCUGGGGAUGGGGCCGCGUCCGAUCAGGUUGUUGGUGAGGUAACGGCUCACCAAGCCUAUAACCGGUACGGGCCGUGAGAGCGGUAGCCCGGAGAUGGGCACUGAGACAAGGGCCCAGGCCCUACGGGGCGCAGCAGUCGCGAAAACUCCGCAAUGCACGAAAGUGUGACGGGGCUACCCCGAGUGCCGUCCGCUGAGGAUGGCUUUUCCUCGGUGUAACUAGCCGGGGGAAUAAGGAGAGGGCAAGACUGGUGUCAGCCGCCGCGGUAA
rnacentral:rRNA from 1 species